UGACAUGUUAGCUGGUGUUGUCAUUGCACA
rnacentral:piRNA from 1 species